rnacentral:rRNA from 1 species
GAUGAACGCUAGCUACAGGCUUAACACAUGCAAGUCGAGGGGCAGCAUGGUCUUAGCUUGCUAAGGCCGAUGGCGAUCGGCGCACGGGUGAGUAACACGUAUCCAACCUGCCGUCUACUCUUGGACAGCCUUCUGAAAGGAAGAUUAAUACAAGAUGGCAUCAUGAGUCCACAUGUUCACAUGAUUAAAGGUAUUCCGGUAGACGAUGGGGAUGCGUUCCAUUAGAUAGUAGGCGGGGUAACGGCCCACCUAGUCUUCGAUGGAUAGGGGUUCUGAGAGGAAGGUCCCCCACAUUGGAACUGAGACACGGUCCAAACUCCUACGGGAGGCAGCAGUGAGGAAUAUUGGUCAAUGGGCGAGAGUCUGAACCAGCCAAGUAGCGUGAAGGAUGACUGCCCUAUGGGUUGUAAACUUCUUUUAUAAAGGAAUAAAGUCGGGUAUGGAUACCCGUUUGCAUGUACUUUAUGAAUAAGGAUCGGCUAACUCCGUGCCAGCAGCCGCGGUAAUACGGAGGAUCCGAGCGUUAUCCGGAUUUAUUGGGUUUAAAGGGAGCGUAGAUGGAUGUUUAAGUCAGUUGUGAAAGUUUGCGGCUCAACCGUAAAAUUGCAGUUGAUACUGGAUAUCUUGAGUGCAGUUGAGGCAGGCGGAAUUCGUGGUGUAGCGGUGAAAUGCUUAGAUAUCACGAAGAACUCCGAUUGCGAAGGCAGCCUGCUAAGCUGCAACUGACAUUGAGGCUCGAAAGUGUGGGUAUCAAACAGGAUUAGAUACCCUGGUAGUCCACACGGUAAACGAUGAAUACUCGCUGUUUGCGAUAUACAGCAAGCGGCCAAGCGAAAGCGUUAAGUAUUCCACCUGGGGAGUACGCCGGCAACGGUGAAACUCAAAGGAAUUGACGGGGGCCCGCACAAGCGGAGGAACAUGUGGUUUAAUUCGAUGAUACGCGAGGAACCUUACCCGGGCUUAAAUUGCAGAUGAAUUACGGUGAAAGCCGUAAGCCGCAAGGCAUCUGUGAAGGUGCUGCAUGGUUGUCGUCAGCUCGUGCCGUGAGGUGUCGGCUUAAGUGCCAUAACGAGCGCAACCCUUGUUGUCAGUUACUAACAGGUUCCGCUGAGGACUCUGACAAGACUGCCAUCGUAAGAUGUGAGGAAGGUGGGGAUGACGUCAAAUCAGCACGGCCCUUACGUCCGGGGCUACACACGUGUUACAAUGGGGGGUACAGAGGGCCGCUACCACGCGAGUGGAUGCCAAUCCCAAAAACCUCUCUCAGUUCGGACUGGAGUCUGCAACCCGACUCCACGAAGCUGGAUUCGCUAGUAAUCGCGCAUCAGCCACGGCGCGGUGAAUACGUUCCCGGGCCU